rnacentral:rRNA from 1 species
AUGCAAGUCGAGCGGUAGAGAGAAGCUUGCUUCUCUUGAGAGCGGCGGACGGGUGAGUAAUGCCUAGGAAUCUGCCUGGUAGUGGGGGAUAACGUUCGGAAACGGACGCUAAUACCGCAUACGUCCUACGGGAGAAAGCAGGGGACCUUCGGGCCUUGCGCUAUCAGAUGAGCCUAGGUCGGAUUAGCUAGUUGGUGGGGUAAUGGCUCACCAAGGCGACGAUCCGUAACUGGUCUGAGAGGAUGAUCAGUCACACUGGAACUGAGACACGGUCCAGACUCCUACGGGAGGCAGCAGUGGGGAAUAUUGGACAAUGGGCGAAAGCCUGAUCCAGCCAUGCCGCGUGUGUGAAGAAGGUCUUCGGAUUGUAAAGCACUUUAAGUUGGGAGGAAGGGUUGUAGAUUAAUACUCUGCAAUUUUGACGUUACCGACAGAAUAAGCACCGGCUAACUCUGUGCCAGCAGCCGCGGUAAUACAGAGGGUGCAAGCGUUAAUCGGAAUUACUGGGCGUAAAGCGCGCGUAGGUGGUUUGUUAAGUUGGAUGUGAAAUCCCCGGGCUCAACCUGGGAACUGCAUUCAAAACUGACUGACUAGAGUAUGGUAGAGGGUGGUGGAAUUUCCUGUGUAGCGGUGAAAUGCGUAGAUAUAGGAAGGAACACCAGUGGCGAAGGCGACCACCUGGACUAAUACUGACACUGAGGUGCGAAAGCGUGGGGAGCAAACAGGAUUA